GACUCUUGCUGUUAGAAAGAACCUAGGAAGCCUCUGUCAUGCGCACAGCUGUGUAAAGAGAAGGACCUCUCUGUUUUCA
rnacentral:lncRNA from 1 species